rnacentral:rRNA from 9 species
ACCGUUAGGCGAUGGAUUGCUGGGUACCCGCUUCGACGAAGAGCGCAGUGAAACGCGAUAACGCUUGUGAUUCGCACUCUCUGUGAUCAACGUCACCUCGAACAUCGAUGCGGCCUUGCCUUCGGGCACUGGCCCCCCUGGUUUGCCU